UACGGAGGGGGCUAGCGUUGUUCGGAAUUACUGGGCGUAAAGCGCACGUAGGCGGAUAUUUAAGUCAGGGGUGAAAUCCCGGGGCUCAACCCCGGAACUGCCUUUGAUACUGGGUAUCUGGAGGUCGAGAGAGGCGAGUGGAAUUCCGAGUGUAGAGGUGAAAUUCGUAGAUAUUCGGAGGAACACCAGUGGCGAAGGCGGCUCGCUGGCUCGAUACUGACGCUGAGGCACGAAAGCGUGGGGAGCAAACAGG
rnacentral:rRNA from 1 species